rnacentral:rRNA from 1 species
AUGAAGCGGUAUAAAUCUAAAAAGACAGGGACUUCAUUGUCAUGUAAGUUUUGUACAAUAUUUCCUUAUUAUCAUUUAUGUACAGCCACAAACCAUGUCGGAACAAGUGUCGUUGCUGCUCCAAGUUGCCAUUGUAUGCUCAUUCACUGUGCGUCGGCCCUGCUAUGUGACAUUAAAGUGAAACAAUUAGAACUUUCUUCUCUUGUGAUUUAUAAUUCUUGCAUACAAUCUUUCUUCAAGCUCCUGAAUCAACCUGCCUUUUCUCCUGCAGUGUCUAUGGAGCCUGAAAUCUCUCUUGGUAUUCUUCACCUGUACAUUGAUCAGCUAUCGAUGCUCUGCAUGAAACACGCAAGUGUCUAG